UACGUAGGAGACGAGCGUUGUCCGGAAUUACUGGGCGUAAAGCGCGUGUAGGCGGAUGGGCAAGUCUGCUGUGAAAGCUCCUGGCUUAACCGGGAGUGGUCGGUGGAAACUGCCCGUCUGGAGGACGGUAGAGGUAGGUAGAAUUCCCGGUGUAGUGGUGAAAUGCGUAGAGAUCGGGAGGAAUACCUGUGGCGAAGGCGGCCUACUGGGCCGGACCUGACGCUGAGACGCGAAGGGGUGGGGAGCGAACGGG
rnacentral:rRNA from 1 species